UGCUCAGCUUUGCAGGCAGCAGCUCAGACUGUAAGCAUCAUCCACAAGGGGACAGCAUCCACAUCCACACUGGAAAGAUGCAGUUUGUGUCUGUGAGGAACAGAAAGGGGAGCAGCCAUUGCUGAAAGCACCCAAAAAUUUUAAAAUUUAAAAAAAAUAAAAAGAGAGAGAGAAGAAAAAAGAAGACGUUUUCGGGACUAUUACUUCUGGACGGAGAGGGAGGAGAGCAGCAGCCCUCUGUAGUUCAGAUUCUGUCUUGCCAAAAUUAUUUUAUUCAAGAGGCAAAUGGAAAAUAAAUCUCUGUCAGGAUCUAUUAUUCAGUUCAGACAUCAUCUAUGAUCCAUGAUGUGACAUUGCCUGUUUUCUGCCUGACUGCCUGGGCUUUCAGGGAUUCCUUGGAAUCUAUCUUGGGAGCUUUGCAAAGUAAGAAAAGUUAUAAAUAAACUCCUAAUGACAAGAUCAUGUAUUUCAACUACAUCUGGAAAGUUCAGAAAGCCACUUUGAAGAUACUGUCUCUAGGUGAGUCUAAUAAACAUAGUUAAAAGCUAUUGUGACCCACAUGUCAUUAAAUACACAGCUGACAAGUUUAAAGAGAGCUACUCCAAUAAUAAAAUGUACAGGAUGCUAAGUAAAUAUAUGCUACAUUUCUGAGGCAUAGAAGUUCUUCAUAAAGCCUUGAGCCAACAACUAAGAACCUUAUAGUAGGAGUUCUUAUAAGUUUCCUUUAUUAGACAGAAACAUUAUACCUCUGGACAGGGUACAGACACCAUAAGCAUAGUUACUUGAAAAAUUAAUUACCAAAAUUUUCUGUGUAUUUUAGUUAGGUAACUGCAGCCUUCAUAGGCUGAAAACAAACACCUGUAAUCUAGCCAAAUAUCUAAGUCCCCAGAUAUAUGAAGUGGUUCAAAGCAAUGCAGAAGUGGCAGGCUACUUUCCUAAAUCCACCUGCAAGAGAAGUGUCAUGUGGUCUUUUUUCAUAGGAAAG